UGGUUAAGUGACUAAGCGUACACGGUGGAUGCCUGGGCAGUCAGAGGCGAUGAAGGACGUACUAACUUGCGAUAAGCGCAGAUAAGGCAGUAAGAGCCGUUUGAGUCUGCGAUUUCCGAAUGGGGAAACCCAACUGCAUAAGCAGUUACUGUUAACUGAAUACAUAGGUUAACAGAGCAAACCGGGGGAACUGAAACAUCUAAGUACCCCGAGGAGAAGAAAUCAACCGAGAUUCCGGUAGUAGCGGCGAGCGAACCUGGAUUAGCCCUUAAGCACUCGGUGAAGUAGGUGAACAAGCUGGAAAGCUUGGCGAUACAGGGUGAUAGCCCCGUAACCGACGCUUCAUCGAGCGUGAAAUCGAGUAGGGCGGGACACGUGAUAUCCUGUCUGAAUAUGGGGGGACCAUCCUCCAAGGCUAAAUACUCCUGACUGACCGAUAGUGAACCAGUACCGUGAGGGAAAGGCGAAAAGAACCCCUGUGAGGGGAGUGAAAUAGAACCUGAAACCGUGUACGUACAAGCAGUAGGAGCACCUUCGUGGUGUGACUGCGUACCUUUUGUAUAAUGGGUCAGCGACUUAUAUUCAGUGGCAAGGUUAACCGUAUAGGGGAGCCGUAGCGAAAGCGAGUCUUAACUGGGCGCUCAGUCUCUGGAUAUAGACCCGAAACCGGGUGAUCUAGCCAUGGGCAGGUUGAAGGUUGAGUAACAUCAACUGGAGGACCGAACCGACUAAUGUUGAAAAAUUAGCGGAUGACUUGUGGCUAGGGGUGAAAGGCCAAUCAAACUCGGAGAUAGCUGGUUCUCCCCGAAAGCUAUUUAGGUAGCGCCUCGGACGAAUACUACUGGGGGUAGAGCACUGUUAAGGCUAGGGGGUCAUCCCGACUUACCAACCCUUUGCAAACUCCGAAUACCAGUAAGUACUAUCCGGGAGACACACGGCGGGUGCUAACGUCCGUCGUGGAGAGGGAAACAACCCAGACCGCCAGCUAAGGUCCCAAAGUAUUGCUAAGUGGGAAACGAUGUGGGAAGGCUCAGACAGCUAGGAUGUUGGCUUAGAAGCAGCCAUCAUUUAAAGAAAGCGUAAUAGCUCACUAGUCGAGUCGGCCUGCGCGGAAGAUGUAACGGGGCUAAGCA
rnacentral:rRNA from 1 species